GGAAGGCGCGACGUUUUCGAGUUUUAUUAGUUUACGAUAAAUAAAACUUUCCUAGUGAGAUUUAAAGUGGGUACAUAUUAAAACUAUGCAUUCUACGAGCUUUCUUUCAACAAAUUGUGGAAUAGCGAACGGUAAUACUUAUCAAAGAUCGAGGAUCAAACUGAGAGAAAACUAGUCGAGUGUAAACUGUCUAUUUUGUAUCCAUGCAGCUGCUUGUGUGCGACCUUUUAUAAAGAAUUAAAUAAACAUUGUUGAUUAAUAAUGAUUGUAAGUAAUUUUUACGUAUUGACCAAAGAAUAUCACUUGGGAUUUUAUUGUACUUUCAUGGAAGGAUACAUAUAUACUCAAGUAAAUAUGUGCCUGUAUAGUGAAAGGGACAUAUAUGGAAACGAAAUUCUUCAUAUGUACACAUGUAUUUAGUUAUCAAAGCAGAAUAUUUUGACAGUGACUGACAGGUUGGUUUCCGCAUGUAUGUAGUUUAAAAUACAGUUGUGAAUGAAAUUAUACAUAGUAUCUUGAAACCUUUGUGUGUGAGUUAAUAAUUUCAUAUUUAUUUUUUUGGAUGUUUAUUUCUCAUUGUCUGGAAGAAGGGGG